GAUCAUGGCUCAGGAUGAACGCUGGCGGCGUGCCUAACACAUGCAAGUCGAACGAAGAUGCCGGAGUGCUUGCACUUUGGCAGACUGAGUGGCGGACGGGUGAGUAACGCGUGGGUAACCUGCCUUAUACAGGGGGAUAACAGUUGGAAACGACUGCUAAUACCGCAUAAGCGCACGGCAUCGCAUGAUACAGUGUGAAAAACUCCGGUGGUAUAAGAUGGACCCGNGU
rnacentral:rRNA from 1 species